CAGUAGCGCGAUUCUGUAACUCGUUAUGCUGUCGUUAUGGACUCAUAACGACAAGUUUCGUUAUGCUACCGACCGCGUCGCUAUUAUAACGACAAAUGCGAUUCUGUACACUAUUCUUAGCGAGUUUUGUCGUUAUUAGUAACGAAAAGUGUCGUUAUGAUGUCGUUACGGUGCGAGCGGAUAGCGAGGCUCAGAGACCCCCUCGGUACGCUAUAACGACCAUUAUAACGACACUUUGCACACGAGCUAGAGGAGUGGUGUGCGUUUCCCAUAUUUUUCUCGACUCCGAGAAAGUGCUUCGAAAAGUGCUCCGAAAGUGAAAAAUAAUUACGACGUUUGAAAUAACAAGAUCAUGGCUAUCGAAUACCUUGCUUGGGAUGUAUUCGUUCUUGAGGAAAGAUUACGUCGACUCGAACGUCGUGUGGAAAGAAGGCGACUGAGAGAUGCUCAGAAUCCUUUUCAGCUACCACGAGAAGAGUUUCUCAGCCUUUUUCGCCUGCCUCAAGAAGCUGUGAUGAAUCUUGGUCAACACCUCAGCAAAGCAGCAUAGGUGAUGCUCGAUAUCCGUUGGAGCCUUGGCUGUUAACACCUCUGGCCAAUUUUCCUGAAGAUACGCGACAACAUCAAUAUACACAACAACUAUGUAAGGCUAGAAGCGUCGUCGAGCGGUUUUUUGGAGUUUUUAAAUCUGUAUGGAGAUGCUUGUCAUACCAGCGAGUCUUGAUGUACAAACCAGCGUUCGCAGCGAAAAUUGUUAAUGCGUGUGCAGUACUGCACAACAUGAGAGUGCAACUACGAUUAAACAAUGAAGAUGACGAACAACUAGCACCGAUAGCUCAUCCCGUAGAGAAUGAUGUUGAUCCGAUGGCUCAACGAAUUCAACAACAAAUUAUGAGAGAAAGAUUUCCCAACUUCCGUGAUGCGGAUGAAUAGAAUACAGAAUAUGGAAUGAUGUUUAUGGUUAAAUUGCCAACAAGUAUAAUGUUCAAAGGUGAUGAGAGAAAUUAACGACAACAGAGUCAGGGCGGUGUUACGCUCCGACGUACUGCCUUGGCGUACCUUUUUCAAAAUUCCAUGUCAUUUCAUUUCUUUAAUAUCUUCAAUGCACAGAUAUUAUUUCAUCAAAAUCUCAUAGGCUCAUAGGAGUAAGGCUGCGGUCAAGCAUCUCUAUACGCCAGGUUCGAUUCCUGGCUCCGUCGUUAAUUUUUCAAAAUCACCAAUUUUUCGAGUUUACAUUCCUUCAACUAUAAUGUUUACAAUUGAUUGUACAUAAAGAAAUAUUCAAUUGUGUUUUUAAAGUAUAACUUUAUUUUAUAAAAAAUAUUCACCUUUUUUAACCUGAACAAAAAAUAAAAACGCGAAAAAUCUUUAUUCUAAA
rnacentral:lncRNA from 1 species